AUGUGUCUCCCAAAAUAUAAAGGAGGCACGGGAUUCAGAAAUUUACAUGCUUUCAAUCUUGCUAUGCUUGCUAAGCAAAGUUGGCGGCUACUAACACACCCUAAUACUUUGUGUGCACAUGUUCUUAGAGCAAAGUAUUAUCCAGAUGGAAAUUUUCUUAUGGCAGGCCCAAAGAAGGGCUCAUCUUUUACAUGGCAGAGCAUUGUGGCGGGUCUUCAAACCUUCAAGAGAGGACAUAUCUGGCGAGUGGGGGACGGUGCCAAAAUAAAUAUUUGGACGGAUCACUGGAUCCCACAAAGUCCUACAAGGAAGGUUAUCACGCCAACGGGUAAUAUCUUGUUGACCAUUGUUGAUGAACUCAUUGAUUCAGGAAUAGGAUGGUGGGAUGAAACCUUGGUUCGGUCUAUAUUCUUUGGUGUUGAUGCUCAACGGAUUUUGAAGAUCCCAUUAUCUACUCAUUUACUGGAUGAUUUUGUAGCGUGGAAUGUCACAAAAAAAAUUUGUUUCUCGGUUCGAUCAGCAUACUAUGUCGAGUGGGAGCACCAAUUCGGACCAAGAAUGAGAAAGGACCCAGCUGAGACAUCAACAAACAACCCUGUUUGGGAGACUCUUUGGAAACUACAAGUUCCAAGCAAGAUAAAGAUUUUUGUCUGGCGAGCACUACAUGGAAUCAUACCUGGGGUGGGAGUAUUGCGAAGUAGACAUAUCAAAGUCUCACCUUCAUGUCCUAUAUGUCACCAAGGACCAGAGGAUAUUCGUCAUUUGGCUUUCACUUGUGUUCGUGCACGUUAGGUUUGGAAGUCCUUGGGUUUGGAUGAGAUAAUAGAUGCAACUAUU
rnacentral:rRNA from 1 species